rfam:Acetobacterium bakii strain DSM 8239 contig_19, whole genome shotgun sequence.
CGGGGUGUGGCUCAGCUUGGUAGAGCGCAUGGUUCGGGACCAUGAGGCCGGAGGUUCAAAUCCUCUCACUCCGA